GGGCAGCUGCCCCACACAGGUGGGGCAACUAUCAGCGGCCAUGCCCGGAAUCGCAAGCACGCCUCCAGGAAAUGGCCGUGCGGCCACCCGACGGGACGGCGCCCUUCUACACCCCGCUGGGGGGACAGGAGGUCACCGCUUCGAUGUGAGAGAGCAGCGUCUGAACUGCGCCGCGGCUCUCGCCUCGCAUCUGUGUGCUGCUGCUGGGCCCGGCCUCGUCUUUGUGGGAUUACGCCUGUAGCUCCUGGUUGGACGUGUAGCCAAAGUUUGCGCCUGAGAACCAAACUCUGACAGAAUCCCAUGGCUCCUCUCUUGCCAUCUGUUAGCCGCUGCUUUUCAAGGAGCCGGCACCAUUUCUAAAACUGUAAUAGAGCAUUACGGGCAACAGAGAAACUGGAAAUGUGUAGAUCUUCGAGUAAAUGUGUGGAGAGGAGAGGUGGGAGUGGACUAUGCCAUAACCAGUAACGAGUGGCACUGGCUCCUGAGCUUCAGAACACCCAAAUAUGCUUUCCUGAUGAUGUGUGGGGUUACCAGGAAAUCCGGUAGCUGUAUGCCAGCUGGCUUUCCAUGUCUUCAUGGCUAAGCUUAUCCAUUGCCACCUAGCCCUCACAGGCGUAUUAGCAGAUCUAGAAAUGUCUCUCUUCCCAAAGUCAUUGUACUGCUAUUGAAAAAGUAGUAUGGUAUUUGAUAACACUUCUCAAUUUUGAAGAGAUCACUAAUAGAUUUAUAUGUGGGGAAUUUCUGACUGAAACUGUCGAUGAAACCUCUCUUUGUUAUUUUCAUGUCAGUUGCUGACAUUCACAAAGUGAAGGGUUGAUUCCUGAGUGUGCUGCAAUACCUUUCUUAACUACAUGUUUAACUGAUUUUAAUGCAGAAUAAAGUGUUAGAUUUUUCAGAAAAUUUCGCUGGUUUUCAGUGAUGAGUAAGGGAGAAAUUAGAAAAUAGAGAAGUAGAAGAAAAUACCUUGCUUCAGGGCAUAGAGUGAUUGCUACCUGGGGAAGGGUCAGGAAGGAAAAUUUUUCUCACAUAUGAUAUUGCACAGCUGGCCACGUGUGUUGUUGGGCAGAGGGAAGAGCCAGCAAUAGGAUGCAUCAGCAUUCCUUUUCUUAUCCCCAGAGACUCACUGCACUCUCUAAAAACAUUAAUAAUGAAGCCUUUGAGUGGAUAUUUGCAUUGUAGAAAAGAAAUAUUUAACUACCAUGUAAGCAGUUGUAGGAUGACAAUGGAGCACGCCUUUGGGAAAUAGAAAGGUAGAUGGUGGGUACAUACUAGAAGGCUUGAGGCAACUAAGUAGUACCUGUCUGGAAUAAUAACUUUGUGCUGUGUUCUGCACAACAGCUGUGAAAACAAGGGUGAGUCGUUGCAGUGACCUGGGAGGCAGAGGUGGGGAUACUUCUAGGACGGAGAACUUGAAUGACUCUCAAGAUAUUCCCUCCUAAAUUAUGGUUGUUAGGAUUUUAUAUAUUUUGCAAGAAAAGGUGGAUGGUUUGAUACACUGUUGGGAAUAUUGGAGGUGUAUGAUAUGAUACACUCCCAAUGAUGUAUGAUACACAAAAGCUUUAUGAAACUCAGUAGAGUAAUGCAUUUCAGUCAGCUUGGCGUAUGUGUUUGGGUGGGAUUUAUCUGGAAUUAGGCAGGGGUGAUCUGUUGCACUUGCCAUGUUUUACUGGUUUUAAAUGUGUGGCAUUUUUAGGUUAUGAUACGUGAUAAAUGGGAAUAUUUGGACAAUGGAGGUCUCAUCAUCUGCACAUGGGCUGUGUUGUGCAUGCUAUGCACACUUUCCUUCAAGCUUUCAAUUUAAGUUGUGCCACAUCCUCACCAUUUCACUUUCUCAUGCUCUAUUAGAAGUGCCUGCAAAAUCCCCUCACUCUCAAGUUUUCCAGACACUGUCAACAAAGGGAAAGUGUAAGCGCAAGUCAUGAAAUGUAAACAGUUGUUGGUUGGUUUCCAAAACAGCAAAAAUGUAAAAAACUACUGUACAGAUUUGGAAAGCAGCCCCAUAGUGUUUUUUCUUCAAGUCUUGGGAGGUCCUGGCACUGAUAAAUAUUUGCCAGCUUUCUUAUGAUGUUUUUGCAAGCUGGGUUUGCUACUAUGCUAAAUUUGAUUAGCAUGAACAGACUGUAUGAGCCCACGUAUCUAAUUAGCUGCGUGGUUCAGAGAAGGUUACGAUGAGGUUGGGCUGGUGUUUGAACUUCUACAGGCAGCUUUUUAACAACCACCCCCAGUUUGUGUGGUGAAACAGAACCUUUUUUUUUUUUCUUACGGUUGCCAUGAAUUGUGGUGCCUGGCUUCCUGCGAUUCAUGUGGCUGGAAGGGCACAGCUGCUGUUCAGGAAUGACAGAGAAGGCGGCCCUGACUUGAAUGUCUGUUAAGAGGGUACUUUGUGUAACUGGAGUGUGCUUUUAGAUUCAGAUUCAUGAUUCAGACAUGCUCUAAGUUUUCUAUGCAGUUAAUUCAAUGAAUGUAAGGUGGUUGGAGAGGUAACAAUGUUUCUUCCUACUAAUUUGCACUUUCAAGGUACUGUCUCCUUGUACUUUAUACAUAACUGCAGUACUUUUAAACUGCAUUGAUUAAGGUUCUACUGUUAAGUAAAGCCUUUUAAGAUUUUCAUUGAUAUCAAAAAGCCUUUAUGGGACCUUACUAAAGGAAGAAAAAAACCACAAUGAGCUUUUAACUGAAGAGAAAAUGUCUUGCUAAGAUUUGUCAAGAUAACAAACUUGCACUGGUUUUGUGAUUUAAUUCCUUGCAAGAUCAAAAUGGAGUGUGCGCUUUGUAAUGACACCAGACAAUGCUUGUUUUUUCAAUAAACUCUUUCUUCUG